rnacentral:rRNA from 1 species
GAUGAACGCUAGCGGCAGGCUUAACACAUGCAAGUCGAGGGGUAUAGUUCUUCGGAGCUAGAGACCGGCGCACGGGUGCGUAACGCGUAUGCAAUCUACCUUUUGCAGAGGGAUAGCCCAGAGAAAUUUGGAUUAAUACCUCAUGGUAUGUGAGAAUGGCAUCAUUUUCACAUUAAAGUCACAACGGCAAAAGAUGAGCAUGCGUCCCAUUAGCUAGUUGGUAAGGUAACGGCUUACCAAGGCAACGAUGGGUAGGGGUCCUGAGAGGGAGACCCCCCACACUGGUACUGAGACACGGACCAGACUCCUACGGGAGGCAGCAGUGAGGAAUAUUGGACAAUGGGCGCAAGCCUGAUCCAGCCAUGCCGCGUGCAGGAUGGCGGUCCUAUGGAUUGUAAACUGCUUUUGUACAGGAAGAAACACUGGUUCGUGAACCAGCUUGACGGUACUGUAAGAAUAAGGAUCGGCUAACUCCGUGCCAGCCGCCGCGGUAAUAC